rnacentral:snRNA from 1 species
ACAACCUGGCAGGGGAGACACCAUGAUCAAGAAGGUGGUUCACCCAGGGCGAGCACUCCGGCCGUGCUGACCCCUGCGAAUCGAGAUUCCCCAAAUGUGGGAAUCUCAACUGCAUAAUUUAUGGUAGUGGGGGACUGUAUUCGCGCUCUCCCCUG